rnacentral:snRNA from 1 species
GUACUCGCUUCGGCGGUACGUAUACUAAAAUUGGAAGAAUACAGAGAAGCUCAGCAUGGCCCCUUAGCAAAAAUGACACGCAAAAUCGUGAGACGUUCCAUAAUUUU